rnacentral:rRNA from 1 species
GUGGGGAAUAUUGGACAAUGGGGGGAACCCUGAUCCCGCCAUGCCGCGUGUGUGAAGAAGGCCUUUUGGUUGUAAAGCACUUUAAGCGAGGAGGAGGCUACCGAGAUUAAUACUCUUGGAUAGUGGACGUUACUCGCAGAAUAAGCACCGGCUAACUCUGUGCCAGCAGCCGCGGUAAUACAGAGGGUGCAAGCGUUAAUCGGAUUUACUGGGCGUAAAGCGCGCGUAGGUGGCCAAUUAAGUCAAAUGUGAAAUCCCCGAGCUUAACUUGGGAAUUGCAUUCGAUACUGGUUGGCUAGAGUAUGGGAGAGGAUGGUAGAAUUCCAGGUGUAGCGGUGAAAUGCGUAGAGAUCUGGAGGAAUACCGAUGGCGAAGGCAGCCAUCUGGCCUAAUACUGACACUGAGGUGCGAAAGCAUGGGGAGCAAACAGGAUUAGAUACCCGAGUAGUCC